rnacentral:rRNA from 1 species
CCCUUAGAUGUUCUGGGCGGCCCGCGCACUACAAUGGCGCUUUCAGCGAGUUCCUAUGUUGAAUUUUCCUGGGUAUUCUUGGAAGCGGCGUCUUGACUUGGGAUAGAUCCUUGUAAUUGUUGGUUUUGAACGAGGAAUUCCUUGUAAUCGCGGUUGAUCAGCUCGCGUUGAAUACGUCCCUGCCCUUUGUACACACCGCCCGUCGCUCCUACCGAUGAAUCGUCCGGUGAAGUUCACAGAGUGGCGGUUCGUGGAGUUGCUCGCGAAGUGAAAUGGACCUCACGAUUUAGAGGAAGGAGAAGUCGUAACA